rnacentral:rRNA from 1 species
GUUGGGUUGUUGCUGGCCUCUAGAGGCAUGUGCACGCCCGCCAUCGUUUUCAACCACCUGUGCACCUUUUGUAGACUUUUGGGAAUUACCUUUCGAGGGUCAACAAACCUCGGUUUUGGGGCUUGCUGCGCUGCAAAAGCCGGCUUUUCCUGCAAUUCCCGUGUCUACGCAUCUUAUAUAUACCCCGUAAAGAAUGUAUUAGAAUGCUUCGUUAUUGGCCUUUGGUGCCUUUAAUCAAAUACAACUUUCAGCAACGGAUCUCUUGGCUCUCGCAUCGAUGAAGAACGCAGCGAAAUGCGAUAAGUAAUGUGAAUUGCAGAAUUCAGUGAAUCAUCGAAUCUUUGAACGCACCUUGCGCUCCUUGGUAUUCCGAGGAGCAUGCCUGUUUGAGUGUCAUUAAAUUCUCAACCUAACCAGCUUUUGCAAGCUUGGAUAGGCUUGGUUGUGGGGGUUUUGCGGGCUUCACUUCGAAGUCAGCUCCCCUUAAAUGCAUUAGUUGGAACCCUUUGUUGACCUGUUCCUGGUGUGAUAAUUAUCUACAUCGCGUGCAGUCAGCUGUUGAAUGGGCUUUUCUGCUUCUAACCAGUACCACCCUUUUACCGGGGGGAACGCUUUUUGACCAUUUGACCUCAAAUCAGG